rnacentral:rRNA from 1 species
AUUGAACGCUGGCGGCAUGCCUUACACAUGCAAGUCGAACGGCAGCGCGGGGCAACCUGGCGGCGAGUGGCGAACGGGUGAGUAAUAUAUCGGAACAUACCCUAGAGUGGGGGAUAACGUAGCGAAAGUUACGCUAAUACCGCAUACGCACUAAGGUGGAAAGUGGGGGAUCUUCGGACCUCAUGCUCAUGGAGUGGCCGAUAUCUGAUUAGCUAGUUGGUGAGGUAAAGGCUCACCAAGGCGACGAUCAGUAGCUGGUUUGAGAGAACGACCAGCCACACUGGAACUGAGACACGGUCCAGACUCCUACGGAGGCAGCAGUGGGGAAUUUUGGACAAUGGGGGCAACCCUGAUCCAGCAAUGCCGCGUGAGUGAAGAAGGCCUUCGGGUUGUUAAAGC